rnacentral:rRNA from 1 species
UGGGGAAUCUUGGACAAUGGGGGCAACCCUGAUCCAGCCAUGCCGCGUGAGUGAUGAAGGCCUUAGGGUCGUAAAGCUCUUUCGCCUGUGAAGAUAAUGACGGUAGCCGGAGAAGAAGCCCCGGCUAACUCCGUGCCAGCAGCCGCGGUAAUACGGAGGGGGCUAGCGUUGUUCGGAAUUACUGGGCGUAAAGCGCGCGUAGGCGGACUGAUCAGUCAGGGGUGAAAUCCCGGGGCUCAACCCCGGAACUGCCUUUGAUACUGUCAGUCUUGAGUCCGGAAGAGGCGAGUGGAAUACCGAGUGUAGAGGUGAAAUUCGUAGAUAUUUUGGGAGGAACACCAGUGGCGAAGGCGGCUCACUGGCUCGAUACUGACGCUGAGGUGCGAAAGUGUGGGGAGCAAACAGGAUUAGAUACCCUGGUAGUCCACACCGUAAACGAUGAAUGCCAGUCGUCGGGUAGCAUGCUAUUCGGUGACACACCUAACGGAUUAAGCAUUCCGCCUGGGAGUACGGUCGCAAGAUUAAAAGCUCAAAUGAAUUGA